rnacentral:tRNA from 1 species
AAAAAAUUAGUUUAACAAAAACCUUAGUAUGUCAAACUAAAAUAAUUAGAAUAUCUAAUAUUUUUUA